UGCCUUGUCGUCUAAUGGCAGGACGCCCGGUUCUGGUCCGGGUAAUGGUGGUUCGAGUCCAUCUGGGGCAGC
rnacentral:tRNA from 1 species